UCAUCUGUCCACCUCAUCACUUUGCAUUUCAAAAUAAUUAAUCCCAACACUCAUUCCUUUGAAUUGUCCCAUGAAUUCAGUGGUAUUGGAAACAGGAUGCUUGACAGUUUUUUUGCAUAUCAUCCCUUUCGGUUUGUUAGCCAACAAUGUCAAGAACCUCUUUUAGCAGAAGACUACAGCCCUUGGCAUAAGGAAUUCUCGAGCUAUGGGAAUGUGACUUCUAAUGCUCAUGUUUCUGCACAGAACACCUAAGGCUCAGUUCAUAUUGUAAUGGCUGUAACACUAUCUGAGGACUCAGAAGGUGCUAAGACACCUCUGAUGAAAAUGCAGGGCUUCUCCACAGUGCAGGUACCCACAGGGUGAAACUGUAUGUACUCCCACGUGUGUGCCAGCAAGCAUGGAGAAGACCAAAGCAUGGAGAAGACCAGCAACAGCAAUUUUAAGUAAUGCAACAAUGACUAUAUCUACCAGACAGCGCAGAAACUUUCAGAUGGUCCUAGGAAAUACAUGAGACUGGGUUUGCAGAGGGAGGUGAUGCAACUAAUCAAUACUGAUUCUAAGAAGCCAAAAAGCCUGAAAAAGGACUUCAUGCCUUGUAUCAGUGUCAAUGAAUACAAUAAAAGAACACCUCUCACUAUAGCCCUUGUCUCAACAUAAUCUCACUGGAAUCAUUCAGGGUAUGCAAUAAUCAAGCCCAGCUGCAUUGCUUGCAAAAGGUAAAUUGAAAAGGAAAUUACAGCAGAACCUAAAGGCCAGUAGCAUGAGUGCAUCUA